UACGUAGGGGGCAAGCGUUGUCCGGAUUUAUUGGGCGUAAAGAGCGUGUAGGCGGCCAGGUAGGUCUGCUGUGAAAACUCGAGGCUUAACCUCGAGAUGUCGGCGGAAACCGUCUGGCUAGAGUCCGGAAGAGGAGAGUGGAAUUCCUGGUGUAGCGGUGAAAUGCGCAGAUAUCAGGAAGAACACCCGUGGCUAAGGCGGCUCUCUAGUACGGUACUGACGCUGAGACGCGAAAGCGUGGGGAGCGAACAGG
rnacentral:rRNA from 1 species